rnacentral:snoRNA from 1 species
UGAUUGGUGAUGACUCCCAAAUACAUGUUCCUCAGAAAUCUGAACAAAAUGAGUGUACACUCUAUACUGUCAUCUUCAUCAAACUGAGGUCC